GGAUCAGUUCGCUGGUCGUGCCUCUGGUAUGUACUGGUGUUACUGGUUCCUCCCUUCUGACGAACUGUCAUGUCAUUUAUUUGGUGUGGCAGGGAAUCAGGACUGUUACUUUGAAAAAAUUAGAGUGUUCAAAGCAGGCCUAUGCCUGAAUACAUUAGCAUGGAAUAAUAGAAUAGGACAUGGGUUCUAUUUUGUUGGUUUCUAGGACCUUUGUA
rnacentral:rRNA from 1 species